CAUGUCGAACGCUGAAGCCCUUCGGGGUGGAUGAGUGGCGAACGGGUGAGUAACACGUGGGUAAUCUGCCCUGCACUCUGGGAUAAGCCUUGGAAACGAGGUCUAAUACCGGAUAGGACACGUGACCGCAUGGUCUGCGUGUGGAAAGUUCCGGCGGUGCAGGUUGAGCCCGCGGCCUAUCAGCUUGUUGGUGGGGUGAUGGCCUACCAAGGCGACGACGGGUAGCCGGCCUGAGAGGGUGACCGGCCACACUGGGACUGAGACACGGCCCAGACUCCUACGGGAGGCAGCAGUGGGGAAUCUUGCGCAAUGGGCGAAAGCCUGACGCAGCAACGCCGCGUGGGGGAUGACGGCCUUCGGGUUGUAAACCUCUUUCGACAUCGACGAAGCCUUCGGGUGACGGUAGGUGUAGAAGAAGCACCGGCUAACUACGUGCCAGCAGCCGCGGUAAUACGUAGGGUGCGAGCGUUGUCCGGAAUUAUUGGGCGUAAAGAGCUCGUAGGCGGUUUGUCGCGUCGGCCGUGAAAACCUGCCGCUUAACGGUGGGCGUGCGGUCGAUACGGGCAGACUUGAGUUCGGUAGGGGAGACUGGAAUUCCUGGUGUAGCGGUGAAAUGCGCAGAUAUCAGGAGGAACACCGGUGGCGAAGGCGGGUCUCUGGGCCGAUACUGACGCUGAGGAGCGAAAGCGUGGGGAGCGAACAGGAUUAGAUACCCUGGUAGUCCACGC
rnacentral:rRNA from 1 species